UGGUGGAGUGAUUUGUCUGGUUGAUUCCGUUAACGAACGAGAUCUUGACCCUUCAAUGACAGUUGGAUCGACGUAAUCUUGUGUCUCGGCUUCGGUUAAGACGUUGGAUGAGAUCCACAUAUGUACUCAAGGGGACGAUGCAUGAAUACCAAUGCGUGGAAGUCCGAGCCAAUAGCA
rnacentral:rRNA from 1 species